CUACCGUCCGUCUCUCUCUCUCGCCUCUCGGGGCGCCGCCGCCCCGCGCCACCUUCGCGCACCAGCAGACCGCCCUCACCGCCGCGAAUCGCCGCCUGGCUGCGCUGGGGAAGAAGAAGAGGACAAGCACUCUCGGUCGGCCGGCCGGGCCACCAGAAAGCGGGUGCGCAGCCACGCGCGCGAGCCGGGCGCGCGACACCUGCGCGCAUUGGUGAUCACGGCGGCGGGCCGGGGCCUAGGGGGCGUCGCAGCCUGGUGCAGCUGCGACUGGGAGCGGUCGGGGCACGUGAGGGGAGCCGUCCCUGCCCGCGCAGUCGGCCGCUGGCCACGACCAACCCCAGUUGAUGGGCAUGGAUCCACCUCCACGACGCCGAUGUCACCGCGCUUCUCUCGCCGCCACCCUUCCUGGUAAGUGGCGGCCGGAGCGUCGCGCGCCCGGAGGCGGCGGCUGAGCCGCUCCUCUGCCCCUCCGUCGAGGGACACCCCAGGCUCCGCAUACGCCGCCCAACCCAACCCCCAAUCGGCGGCUAAACAUAGAGGUCGAUGUUCAGGUGCGGACCCAUGCGCAGGGCGAGGGAGAUGCCAGGCGUGGCGCCACCACGGAGGGGGACGCGGCCUUCUCGUGGGCACCCGUCAUACUUUGUCUGCUGAUCUCAGUGGCACCACUUGGUUCAACCGGUCAUCUGUGCAACUAGGCCUUGUGGUAAUCCAAAUUUCUGUGAUUCCUAAGCUUUCGUAUCUCCCUUUUCAUAUCAAUUAUCAAGAUCCAAAUGAGUUUCCUUUUCCUUUUAUUCAGGCAAGUGGUUCACUUUAUGGAGCUUUUGGUGGCUCUAUUCUCGCACACCACAUUUGAACUGAAAAGCUAAACCAAUUUAAUUAUCCUCACCAUACUUGUUUGAUAAGGGGGUGAAUAACCAUCUUGAUACAGGAAGGAGAAUAGAAUUGGUCACCGCAGCUGCACUAUAUAUUCUUGGUGCUUUGGUCACUGGAUUUGCCCCUAAUUUUGUAGGUCUAAUCAUAGGUCGUAUCCUUUAUGGGAUUGGUAUUGGUUUGGCAAUGCAUGGUGCCCCACUUUAUAUUGCAGAGACUUCUCCUCCGCAAAUACGUGGAACAUUGAUAUCUUUGAAGGAGCUGUUUAUGCGUUAGGAAUACUGGUUGUCGUUUGAAAACCACAAACUGCAAAUGAGGUUGCUACAACAUUAUAUUAAUGUGCAGUGAGGUGUUGUCUGUUGUACUACGAGAAGUGUAGCUGCACUUCAAUUAGUUUUGCCAGUCGACUUAAGGUGAUGAAUCUGUACUUAUCUAACACUCACUCAAUAACAUUUUUUACCUAAUGUUCUCAAGUGGUACUGAUCAAGUGUAGCUACAUAUGUUGCUUGUCUGAUAAAAAAAAGUAGCAACAUGUUCAUAUAGAAUGUUUUUGAGAAUAGUCAAUAUUUUAGGUUGUAUAGAUACAGCUGCAAUGAAACCUUCUCAGUGAUACAUUCUUUGACCUAAGCUAGGUCACGGUUGGGCACUUCAAAUAGAACUCUCAUUUGAUGUGCAUGUGUAUAUAUAAAAAGGUUUGAUGAAUCAGCGCUAGCUUCCUGCGUUAACAUAUUCUGGCCAGUGGUGUGUAAGUCUUUGACACCUCUCACAUACUGUUGUUGUUUUUCCCCUUACAUUAGAAAGCAUGCUAGGAUUUAGUACCUGAGAGGUGCAAGUAAGUUCUUUGACACCUCUCAGAUUCUGCGUUGCUUGGAUGUGAAAGUAAAUUGACUAUAUUUAUGUAUGAUGGAACUCUUGUUCCCAUUUUAACAUUGCGAACUUCGAUGGAUAGAAUCCUAAUGCUGGAUUGGCAGCUGUUGCAACCUGUUCUCAUGUUGAUGCUGGAGGAGUUUGAUUAAGCUUGAAAAUUCAUAAUAAUAGAAGCUAUGUUUUACAUCAUAUUGUUUUAUUUUUACAAAAUUUUGAUAUGAUAAGAACAAUGUUUUUAUUGGUAAUGCAAUCAAUGGCCAUACAUCUUUGAAAAGUAGAAUAUGUGCUCUUAAAUGGAACCGGCUGCUUUUAUCGCCAAAACUUAUGAUUCAUAUGUUGGGAGAACUACGUCGAGGGGUGGGAAAGAAGGCAAAAUCAUAUGCUCAAGUUACUGAUGAAGAAGAAACUUAUGUUUUA